UUUCCGUAGGUGAACCUGCGGAAGGAUCAUUAGUGAACUCCCUCACGGGCUUAUAUCUAUUCCAAACCUCUGCGUACUGUACCCUUCGUUGCUAUUUUUUAAACAUGGUGUAAUUAACAUUAUAGAUCAAAAUAAAACAAAACUUUAAACAACGGAUCUCUUGGCUCUC
rnacentral:misc_RNA from 1 species